ACAAAAACUCUAAAUUGAAGGCUCAAAUCACGUUGUAAUCAAAAUCUGAACAUAGAAUUGUGAUCUCCUCGUCAAGAAGGUCAUAAGGCAAGGAAUCCGGGACAUCGAGUGGACACGCCGGAGGUGAUAUCCGCGGAAAAGGUGUGCUUUGAAGGCAAGGAAUCCGGGACAUCGAGUGGACACGCCGGAGGUGAUAUCCGCGGAAAAGGUGUGCUUUGAAGGUACAAAUAAAUCUCUCUCGGAUGAUGAUCAAGCACCUUGUCAAGAACCGAACACGCAAACUGAAGCUUCCGCAUGAAUAUAAUUUUGUCUAAACUUUAAACAUGUCAUAAAUACUUUUGGUUGAUGGUGUUUUGAAUCCUUUAGCUAGUUGUUAGUUGAUUAGUAAGGAUGGCUCUUAAAUGAAUUUUGUACCAUCUUAAACAUGUUUGGGAAAUUACACUAGUAUGUAUGGUUUAAAACGGUAAAUCCUUUUGUAAA